CGGUUCGUGUAGCAGUGCGGCUCUCUGUUACCCAGACACGUAAGGCUAACGUAAUAUAGCACGUUACAUUGUUGUGAUGGUGUCUGCGCCGACGGGCGCGUGGUAGUCUUGAAACGCCUCGACGGGUUUAGACGUAUAAACGCAUGUGAAACGAAGGCGUGACGCGGUGGGUUGGCGCUGAGCGGUGAAACCAGAACCCCCCCCCCCCCGCAGGUUUCGCGGCUCAUUCUUGGCUCGUCGCGGUAACGUUGCGCUGCUCGCUGACACCACCCGCCGCCGUGCCCCUGCACCACCCAGCCUCCACACCGGGCGGCAUCGCGCCCAAUGGGAGGGGGAACCACGUGGUGAAAAACCCCGAUCCAGGCCCAGCGGUGUUAGCAACGUGGCUAAGUGCUAACGGCACAACACGACGCCUUUGAAAAAGCAUUCCUCUGUGUAACCACACUUAGGACCUUUAAAAAGAUUCAUUAAUAUCUGCACACCGGUCCACGUCCGCCUCCCCAUGCAGAACUCCGUGAAAUGAAUAAAGCACCACAGCCUCUAACAGGACCCCCCUCCAACCCCCACCCCGCCCCCUCCCCCGGCCUGUCACAG
ensembl:lncRNA